GACGAACGCUGGCGGCGUGCUUAACACAUGCCAGUCGAACGGAAAGGCCCUUUUUUUGUGGGGCGCUCGAGUGGCGAAUGGGUGAGUAACACGUGAGUAACCUGCCCUUGACUUUAGGAUAACCUCAGGAAACUGGGGCUAAUACUGGAUAGGAGCUCAUGCUGAAUGGCGGGGGUUGGAAAGUUACGGCGGUUGGGGAUGGACUCGACGCUUAUCCGCUUGUUGGCGGGGUAGUGGCUUACCAAGGCUGUGACGGGUAGCCGGCCUGAAGGGGUGGACAGCCACAAUGGGGCUAGGGUAAGGCCCAGUCUCCUACGGGAGGCAAGAGGGGGGAAUUUUGCGCAAUGGGCCGAAGCCUGAUACAGCAACGCCGCGUGCGGGAUGUCGGCUUUCUGGGUAUAAACAGCUUUGGCAGGUGACAAAAAGUGAGUGACGGUAAUAAAAAAAGAAGCAACGGCUAACUACGUG
rnacentral:rRNA from 1 species